UACGUAGGCAGCAAGCGUUGUUCGGAUUUACUGGGCGUAAAGGGUGUGUAGGCGGUCCUCUAAGUUUGGUGUGAAAUCUCCCGGCUCAACUGGGAGGGUGCGCCGAAAACUGGAAGGCUAGAGUACUGGAUGGGAGAGUGGAAUUCCUGGUGUAGCGGUGAAAUGCGUAGAUAUCAGGAGGAACACCUGUGGUGUAGACGGCUCUCUGGACAGUAACUGACGCUGAGACACGAAAGCGUGGGUAGCAAACAGG
rnacentral:rRNA from 1 species